AGCUAAAAGGUAUGUUAUAUCAUACAUUGUGUAUUAAUAACCAAACCAAUUUUAGAGCUUAAAUGCUAAUUUAACAAUGACUUACAUCUAAAAAACAGCAUAAAAUUGUUUUAAGAACAAAAAAUGUACAGAACCAAAUUGAAACUGAAGAACCGAGAACUGAAUUGAAUUACAACCAAAACAUCGAUGAAUCGAACUAAAAUCAUACCAAAAUUUUAGUUCGAUUCCAGUUCCAAGGUAGACCUUGAACUAAGAUUGGAAUAUAUUAAUGUAUAUUAAAUGAAUCAAAAAACAAUUAAUAGGUGCUUCUACCACCACUACUAAUCUAUCACCAAUUGCAUAAAUGGGUAGAUUAGAGUUUGUUUGGGUGACAUUGAUAUAGGCAUUCACACAAUUUUAAAGGGUAAAUUUCAAUAAAUAUCCCUGAACUUAUAUGGUUGUA
rnacentral:misc_RNA from 1 species